GCUGGGUGUGGUGGCGUGCACCUGUAAUCCCAGCUACUCGGGAGGCUGAGGCGGGAGAAUUGCUUGAACCCAGGAGACAGAGGUUGCAGUGAGCAGAGAUCGCGCCACUGCACUCCAGCCUGGGUGACACGGCGAGACUCUGUCUCAA
rnacentral:SRP_RNA from 1 species